UUUGAUUACAUAAGAUUCCUUUGAAAUUUAAAAAAAAAUCAAACUAGUUCAUACCAACUUGCUCAAGUUGUAUGUAUGAAUUACAAGAUCGACACCUUAUUUGAACUUACAAUCCUAGGAAAGCAUAAAAUGCAGUUCCAUGAGCAUGCAUUUAAAGUGACAGAAAAAAUUUACUGAUUACAGUGAUAGUCUAAGCUCCAAAUAUAGCUCUUGUGUGUCGCUUGAUUCUGAAUUCUGGCUGCUCGAUCCCAAUGAGUUGUUGCGAUGUUUCUUGCUCCUUGAAUGUGAAUCCUGUAAGAAUGUAAGGAACUAAAACAAGUUAAAUUUUAAAACACAAUCAUCACAUGGCACAUAAACUAAAUUUCAGCAACUAAACAAUUCAAUUUUCAGUACUUAAAAACUUCAAUUUACAACAUUUAAACACUUCAAUUUGCAGCACUUUAACACUUUAAUUUGCAACAUGUAAAAAUAAAAUAAAAUAAAAUAAAGAGCACACAAAUUUUACGUGGAAACCCUUUCAGGAAAAAAUCACGGACAGAGGAGAAGAAAAUUCACUAUGUCGAAAAAUUUGAAUCAAUACAAGAGGAAUAGACUAUGUCUAUUUAUAGGCUUGUAAAGCCAUAUUCUAGUAGGAUUGAAACACCUUAUCCUAAUAAAUAUAAAAUAGAUGGAGUUUAAUAAGGUUUAAAAAACCUUAUUCUAAAAUAAAAUAAAAGAAGUCUAGUUCUAUAUGGAUUUUACUUUUAUUUUAUUUUCCAUCGUAUUUUAUUUAAAUAAGAAUUCGGGUCACUUAAUUCUAACAAUCUCCACCUUGACACAAAUUCUCAAUGAACAAGUUCUUCAUCACAAACAAGUUCUCCACCUCUUCCACAAAACCCCUUAAGGGUUUAACUUCAACAAUAAACACCAACCAAGUCUAAGCAAUGGUCAAACUUGGUUAUAGGAAGUGACUUAGUCAUCAUAUCUGUAGGAUUUUCAUGAGUACUAAUUUUGCUCACAACAAUAUCACCACGAGCAAUAAUAUCACGAACAAAAUGAUACCGAACAUCAAUAUGUUUUGUUCUCUCGUGAAACAUUUGAUCUUUUGUAAGGAAGAUGGCACUCUAACUGUCACAAAAUACUGUACUGAUUUGAAGGUCUUCAUUGAGUUCACUAAAUAGUCCCUUCAACCAAAUAGCUUCUUUACAAGCCUCAGUAAUUGCCAUGUACUCGGCUUCAGUGGUAGACAAAGCGAAUGUAGUUUGCAAAGUGGCUUUCCAACUAAUUGCACAACCUCCGAUUGUAAAGACGUAACCUGUGAGAGAUAUUCUUCUAUCAAGGUCUCCAGCAAACUCAGCAUCAACAUACCCUAUGACUCCAUCUUUAGUUCUUCCAAACUGUAAGCAAACAUUAGUAGUGCCUCGUAAGUAUCUUAAAAUCCACUGAAUUGCUUUCCAAUGUUCUUUACCGGGAUUUGCCAUGUAUCUGCUAACUACACUGACUACAUAUGAUAAAUCUGGACGUGAGCAAACCUUAGCAUACAUGAGAGAUUCCACUGCACUAGAGUAUGGAACAUGUAACAUGUACUCAAUAUCAUCAUCUGAUUGUGGAGACAAAGCCGAUGAAAUUCUGAAAUGGGCUGCUAAAGGAGUACUAACAGGCUUAGCACUCUGCAUAUUGAACCUACAAAGAACUUUCUCAAUGUACCCCUUCUGACUUAGGUACAAUUUACUUGCUUUUCUAUCUCUGAGAAUCUCCAUACCAAGUAUCUUCUUUGGUGGUCCUAAAUCUUUCAUCUCAAAUUCUUCACUUAGUUGGGCUUUGACCUUUCUUAUCUCUCCUUUAUCUUUUGCUGCUAUCAACAUGUCAUCAACAUAAAGAAGUAGAUACACAAAAGAACCAUCACUGUUUUUCUUAAAGUAAACACAACUGUCUAAACUACUUCUUUUGAAAUCAUGAGAAGUCAUAAAGGAAUCAAACCUCUUGUACCACUGUCUUGGUGACUGUUUCAAACCAUAAAGCGACUUUUUCAGCAAGCAAACAUAGUCCACUUUUUCUGAGACUAUAAAACCCUCUGGUUGUUGCAUGUAAAUAUCCUCCUCAAGUUCUCCAUGCAUAAAUGUAGUUUUUACAUCUAACUGCUCAAGCUCCAAAUCAUGCAUGACUACAAUACCAAGCAAAGCUCGAAUCGAACUAUGCUUAACAACUGGAGAGAACACAUCUGUGAAGUCCACUCCUGGAAUUUGACUAUAACCCUUUGCAACAAGCCUUGCUUUAUAUCUGGGUUCUUCAACUCCUAGAGUCCCUUCUUUCUUUUUAAACACCCAUUUACAAUAAACAGCCUAUUUACCCUUAGGAAGUUUCACAAGGUCCCAUGUUUUGUUUUUGUGGAGUGAUUCCAUCUCUUCUUGCGUAGCAAACAUCCACUUUUCUGAGUCUUCACAGCUAACCACCUCAGAAUAAUUAGAUGGCUCUUGAUUCGCAUCUAUAUCUUCAGCCACAUUUAAAGCAUAAGCAACUAAAUCAGCUUCGGCAUACUUCUUUGGAGGUUUAAUUUCUCUUCUAGUUCUGUUUUUGGCGAUAGAGUAUUGUGGUGAAGAAGCAACUCUAUUCUCAAUUUUUGUUAUGGCUUGAGGAGUUGACUCUGUAUUAAUCUGAUACUCCACCUGCUUUUGGUUUUCUUUAUUGGAAGAGUCUUUAAGAGAUAAGUUAGGUAGCAUAGCAGUUUCAUCAAAAACAACAUCUCUACUAAUCACAACUUUUCUAUUUUCAGGACACCAUAACUUAUACCCUUUUACACCGGCUUUAUAACCAAGAAAAACGCAUUUAAUGGAUCUCGGUUCCAGUUUUCCAUUAUCAACAUGAGAAUACGCAGGACACCCAAAAAUCUUUAAAUCAGAAUAAUUAACAGGAUUACCAGACCAUACCUCUUGUGGAGUCUUUUUCUCAAUGGCAACGGAUGGAGAUCGGUUGAUCAAAAAACAUGCAGUAAAGGCUGCUUCUGCUCAAAAUGACUUCGGUAAGUUGGCAUUUGAAAACAUACAUCGAACCUUCUCUAUGAUCGUUCUGUUCAUUCGUUCUGCAAUGCCGUUUUGCUGUGGAGUAUGACGAACUGUCAAGUGUCUCAUGAUCCCUUCUGACUUGCACAAUCUAUUAAACUCAUCAGAGUAGAACUCUAAGCCAUUGUCUAUACGAAGGUAUUUUAUUUGUUUUCCCGUCUAUUUUUCAAUCAUAAUUUUCCAAGACUUAAAUGCGGAAAACACAUCACUUUUCUGCUUCAGGAAGAACGCCCAAACUUUUCUGAAAAAUCAUCAAUAAAGGUUAACAUAUAAUUAGUUCCACCUCUCGAAGGCACUCUGGAUGGCCCCCACAGAUCAGAAUGAAUAUACUCCAACGUUCCUUUUGUGUUAUGGAUUCCUCUAGUGAAUCGAACUCUCUUUUGCUUCUCAAAAACACAGUGCUCACAGAAAUUCAGUUUGCAAAUUCCUUGCCCAUCAAGAAGUCCUCUUUUGCUCAAUUCUGCAAUGCCAUUCUCACUCAUAUACCCUAGGCGCAUAUACCAAAGUUUAGUAAUAUCAUCAUCUGACAAGGAAGAUAAAGUGACAGCUGCAUCACCAGUAAUAGUAGAACCCUGCAAAACAUAUAACUUGGCAAUUUUUCUCUGCCCUUUCAUCACAACAAGGGACCCUUUGGAAAUCUUUAAAACCCCACUUUCAGCUGUGUAUCUGUACCCUUUUGAAUCAAGAGUACUCAAUGAAAUUAAAUUUUUUUUCAAUUCUGGAACUUGUCAUACGUCACUAAGUGUUCUAACAACUCCAUCAAACAUCUUAACUUUAAUUGUUCCAACACCUGCGAUUUUACACGAAGCAUUAUUUCUCAUCAAAACAACACCUUCAGACACUAUUUCGUAAGUUGUAAACCAAUCACGAUUGGGACACAUGUGGAAGGUGCAGCCUGAAUCAAGUAUCCACUCCUCACUUACUUUAGAAUCAUUGACAGAAGCGACUAGAAGUUCACCAUCGCUAUAGUCUUCUACAACAUCAGCUUCACCGAAAUUUUCUGGUUGUUUUCCCUUUUGAUUCGCAGCCUCCCUUUUAAUCUUAUUUUGUAGCUUAUAGCACUUAGAUUUAAUGUGCCCUUUCUUCUUGCAGAAGUUACAAGUUUUACCUCUAUUUGAAGACUUCGAUCUACCCUUAGAUUUACCACGAGGAUUCUGUUCCUGUGUCUUACCAUGAUCAUCAUCAACAUUCCGAUCUUGUCUCCCAUGAACAAUGAGACCCUCUCCCUGAGAGUCGAGUUUAACCACAAGAUGUUUCAUCUUAUUAUAUGAGGUUAAAGAAUCAUAAACCUCAUCAACUGUGAGAGACUCGCGGCUAUAUAAAAUCGUGUCUCUAAAGGUUGAAUAAGACGGGGGCAACGAACAAAGUAGAAUCAACCCUAGAUCUUCCUUAUCAUACUUAACCUCCAUGGCCUCCAAGUUUGAGAGAAUUUCUUAAAACACUGUUAAGUGUUCGUGUACAGACGCACCUUCCUCCAAACAAUGAGCAUAAAGACGCUACUUCAUAUGUAACUUGCUUGUUAGAGUUUUCGACAUACAUAUUUGUUCUAGCCUCUUCCAUAAUGCAGCGGCAGUCUUCUCUUUCAUCACAUCCUGCAAAAUUUCGUUUGACAAAUGCAGAUGUAAUUGUGUUAAUGCCUUUCGAUCCUUACGCUUCUUCUCUUCAUCGGUUAAUGUCGAAGGCAUCUUAUCUAUCCCUAGCAGGGCAUCCUCCAGAUCCAUCUGCGCAAGAACUGCUUGCAUCUUAAUCUGCCACAAUGCAAAUCUGGUGUUGCGGUCCAAUAACGAAAUUUCAUAGUUCAAAGACGCCAUUACUCUGAUUGAGAUGAACAACCCGAAAGCUCGGAUACCAAUUUGUAAAAAUAAAAUAAAAUAAAAAACACACAAAUUUUACGUGGAAACCCUUUCGGGAAAAAACCACGGGCAGAGAAGAAGAAAAUUCACUAUGUUGAAAAAUUUGAAUCAAUACAAGAGGAAUAGACUAUGUCUAUUUAUAGGCUUGUAAAGUCAUAUUCUAGUAGGAUUGAAACACCUUAUCCUAAUAAAUAUAAAAUAGAUGGAGUUUAAUAAGGUUUAAAAAACCUUAUUCUAAAAUAAAAUAAAAGAAGUCUAGUUCUAUAUGGAUUUUACUUUUAUUUUAUUUUUCAUCGUAUUUUAUUUAAAUAAGAAUUCGGGUCACUUAAUUCUAACACAGCACUUUAACACUUCAAUUUACAACACUUUAACAUCUCAAUUAACAACAUUUAUACUCCUUAAUUACAGCGAUAAAACAUCUUAAUUUCCAGCAACUAAACAUUUCAAUUUGCAGUACUUAAACACUUCAAUUUACAACAUUUAAACACUUCAAUUUACAACAUUCAAACACUUCAAUUUGCAGCAUUGUAACACUUCAAUUUAUAGCAUUUAAAUACUUCAAUUUGUAGCACUUUAACAUCUCAAUUAACAACAUUUAUACAGCUCAAUUACAGCGAUAAAACAUCUCAAUUUCCAGCAACUAAACACUUCAAUUUACAAUAUUUAAGCACUUCAAUUUACAGCAUUUAAGCACUUCAAUUUAUAGCAUUUAACACUUCAAUUUACAGCAUUUAAACACUGCAAUUUGCUGCACUUUAACAUCUCAAUUAACAACAUUUAUACACCUCAAUUACAGCGAUAAAACAUCUCAAUUUCCAGCAACUAAACACUUCUAUUUGCAGUACUUAAAAACUUCAAUUUACAACAUUUAAGCACUUCAAUUUACAGCAUUUAAACACUUCAAUUUUCAUCACUUUAACAUCUCAAUUAACAAUAUUUAUACACCUCAAUUACAUCAAUAAAACAUCUCAAUUUCCAGCAACUAAACACUUCAAUUUGCAAUAUUUAAACACUUCAAUUUAUAGCAUUUAAACACUUCAAUUUACAGCAUUUAAACAGCAGCAACCAUCAAUUAAAUAAGAGGAAUUUUAAACAUUUAAUAGUCAUUUCCAUCAUAAUCGACAGCAAAUUAUCCACCAUUUAAUUAGCUCAAUUUUAGCAUUAAUUCGGUAAUGAGCAACAAUAUACAGCAGCAUUCAAUCCACCAUAAAAAGAUAUUCCAAACAUCCAUUUACUCACUUCCGGACCUCAUUAACAGCAACAAUUUAACAGAUUUCUUUCAUACAGUUCUUCUAACCUGAAACAGCAUUGGUCAUUGGGAGAAAAAUGCGAAUCUACUUGGACGUGUCAGUUAGGGCCAUAACAAUUGCAAUUGCUUCCGGUAGCAUAAUCUUAACUCUAAAUCAAAGAAAGUAUUAAAAGAGGGUACUAUUUUUCAAAAUUAUCUGAAUUUGCUCAAGAGUUAUAAGCUUUCGAGCUUUUGCUAUCACAAAUAGAAGUUCUAGCUAAAUAGUUGAAUGUACCUAUUUAAGAAACGUAAACAGUCAAUCCUGUGAAUCUAAACAUUGAAAUUAUUAACAAAUUUGUUGCUGAGUAAUGCAAUUUUAAUUCAGACAAUUAUACAUCUUGAUGCAUACUCUAAACAUAUAUAUUGAUGAAUGAAAAUUAUACAUACUUCUGGCUGGCAGAGGGCAUGAAUUGAGCAAGAUCCUCGCCAUCUAACCCAAUCAAAUCCUGAAAGAAAUAAAAAAUUGUUAUCCAAAGUAAAUGUAUAAACCACCCGUCCAAUCUGCACAAGAAAACACAAUAUGAAUGAAAAAAAAUCUAUAAUUAAAUGCAUUAAGACGUCAAAAACAAAAGACAUGCUGACCUGCAGGUUUUGUUCAAUUGGCUUAUUGGUUUCGUUAUCCUUUGUAUGCCGCCUAUAACAUUCUAUAGUUUGUUGCAUGCUAAAUAAAUGAUAUAUCCAAAUAGCAACACAAAUGAAUUCAUGGAAAAGCUUCUAAUUAAAAACCAAACAAUGUUUUAAUUAGAACAGAAGCUACAUGUAUAUAGGCAUAAAUGCAAUAAAAACCUCAAAUAAAAUAAAAAAAGAAAUGAUUAACUAAACAGUAUCAUUAAGCAUCAUUCUAGUCACUAUGUUGUUAUAGUAAUUAGGGAUUAGUCAUAAAAUAUAGUUUAAUUUUGGUUCUUGGAAAAACCCCACAGGAAAGAACAAUGUUGUAACACCCCGAACCCGAAACCGACACCGGAGUCGAACACGAGGUGUUAACUGACUUUAACCCCUUAUAAAAUUUAUUUUCCAGACACUGCCCAAUCUGUGUACUAGUCGUUCUAAAAAUCAUAUCUUGAGUUUCCUAACUCGAAAAUCAGUUUCGUGAUUUUUCCCAGAAACUAGACUCAUGUGCCCAUCUAUGAAUUUUUUUCUAGAAUUUUUGGUUGGGCCAAUUAGUACAGUUUAUUAGUCAAAGUCUCCCAUGUUGCAGGGGUCGACUACACUGACCUUUUCCCAUUACGACCUGGAUAUCUCCCUGCACGGGGCUUCAAUACUGAUGGCGUUUGUUUCUAUGAAAACUAGACUCAGAGAGGAAUCUGUACAUAUAUGGUACGACCCCUAAUUAUCUCUGGUUAAUUUAUAUUGAAUUUCCAAAGUCGGAGCAGGGAAUCCAGAAACUGUUCUGGCCCUGUCCCACAAAAAUCUGAUUAUCUAUUAAUAUACUGCCCAUAUGAUCUUUUCGUUACUUCCUCAUGAAAACAGACUCAUCGAGCUUCGAUUACAUAAUUUAUUCAUCAAUUAAUUCCACUCCUACUAUUUUUAGUGAUUUUUCAAUCUCAUGACACUGCUGCUGCCAGCAUCUGUUACGAAAGUAACUAGGUCCAUUUCAUGCCUACCCUUGAUCCAACUCAAUCGAACAUUCGUGCCAUUUUCGCAUGGCUUAAAGUUUACAUGCCAAAGUUCAAACACAACGUAAUAGCUUAUACAUGCCAAAAUGUUCUUCUAAGCCAACUAAGAAGAAAGUACCAAAACUUGCUAUCCGGUGUGAUGACUUCGAUGACGGCCUGACCCCGCAAAAAUAGAUGAGUCCAAGCAACCUAUAAUGGGUGACAAGGAAACACCGAGUGAGUUUAUAACUCAGUAAGUCAUAAGCAAUGCACUACCAUCCAUCAAUAACAUUAUCACAAGAGGAAACAAAAUGGAACGAGACAAUUUACUCCAUCCAUACCGAACCAUACCAUAGUUCCUCCAACCUAUCGAUUCAGUUUCAUAUCAAUUUAUGCAUUCACAUUCCAUAUACUCAUCAAUAGGACAUUGAGGCAAUUUCAUAAAUCAAUUUAUUUUCAUUACAAUCAAACGACUAAACGGCCUUUCACCCAUCCUACGAUAAAUUUUAUGUACGUGACUUCAAGUAUAUUUGUCACAUAGAUUCAAACUUACCGAGCUCAACACCAAGUAUAAGCAUAGCACCCAUUAGCCAUGUACUCAAGACACUUACCCGAUCCGCUGUCCGCGAUCGACUCGAUAGUGUCGCACACAUAGUGUCCAUAAUGAUUCACGAAUGUAUAUUGAGUCCGCACACUCAGUGCUAUAUAAUCAACUCGCACACUUAGUGCUACGUAAUCAAAUCGCACACUUAGUGCUACAUAGUCAAACUCGCACACUUAGUGCCGCAUGGUCAAUUCGCACACUUAGUGCAUCAUAUUCAUUUCGCACACUUAGUGCAACAUAGUCAAAUCGCACACUUAGUGCUACAUAGUCAAAUCGCACACUUAGUGCUGUACAAUUUACUCCCGCGCACUUAGCGCCAAUCUCAUGGUCAUAAAUGGUUAUACCCGCACGUUUAGUGCCGAGAUCAACAACUCAGUACAUCUUACCUCUUUUCUUUUCAUUCAACAAUUUCAUCAUCACAUACGUACAUGCAUAUAUAUAUGUAUAUUUAUUCAUUCCAUUCAGCAUCAAUACAUAAACAUUAUGACCAUUUAAAACAAUACCAACUACAUGCUUAAUGACUUACCUUGUGUUGGGUAAGACGGUUCCAACUCGGCUACUCAGUAAUCUUUUCUUUGCCUUUAUCGGAUCUAGUUCCCUUUUGCUCUUGAGCUUAAGUUCAACAAAAUUUAAAAUAGUCAUUAAUCGACUAUUCAAGUAUUACUUUCAGAAUAAUAUAUAUAUUGAUUUGACUUUCACACACAUAGCUUAUAGUAAGCUUUAUAAUAAUCAAUAAAUAACUCAUUGGCAAAUUUUCAUUAAUGUUUACAACAAAAUCACAUAUUCACUACGAGCUGUUUUCCUGAGCAGUAGUCGCUAAAUUGUUUAUAACUGGAGCUACAAAACUCCAAAUCACAAGCCGUUAAUUUUCCCUGAAUAUAGACUCGUAUAUCUUUCAUCCAUAAAAUUUUCAGAAUUUUAGGCUUGGCCAAUCAAUACCAGAUUUUUCUUAAAGUUUCCCGUGUUUCACUGUUUGACUAUUCUGACCACUCUUCACUACGAAUCAAAUUUCUCAUUUUACAGAAUUCAAAAUGUGUUGUAUUUGAUCUCAUUUGAAACUAGACUCAUUAAGGAGUCUAAGCAUAUAAAUUGUAUCUUAUAAUCAUUUUUGUACAAUUUAUAAUGAUUUUCUAAAAACAGAACAGGGAAUCUAGUAGUCAUUUUGACUCAGCCCCACAAUACUUCAAAUAUCUCAAGAUCGGUAACUCUUUUGUUUUCAUAGUUUCUUUUGUAAGAAAAUAGACUCUUCAAGCUUUAAUGGCAUAAUUCACUCAGCUUCUAAUUCAACUCCUACAAAUUAUGGCGAUUUUCCAAAAUCACCUUACUGCUGCUGUCCCCAAACAGAUUAUUACCAAAUCAAAUACUAACAUUAGCAUUUCACCUUAAUAGCUAGCUUACCAAGCCUUAAUUUAACAUAUUUUCAUUCAAUUUAGUCUAAUAACGCAUAAAUGGGUAAAUUACAUUUUUACCCCUAAUAUUAAGCACUUUCGCAAUUUAGUCUUUAUUCCACAAAACACAAAAUACACAAAGUUUGGUCACACUCCUUAAGGGCCGAAUCUUCCUAGUACCCAUAUAAGUCCAUACAUUUCAUUUAUUUCACCUUUGAGUCCUUCAAAAAUUUAUUUUUGUAAUUUAGCCCUAACUACUCAAAAUCACCAAAAACUUCAACACAAAACAUAUUAAUCUUUAACAAGAAAUAAAAUCUCUAAUCCUCAAACUACCAUGGUCGAACCUUCAUGGAGUUGCUAAGACUCCUCAUUUCUACUUCUCACACACUCUCACAUCCAAACCCUUUUAUUAAACACCCAAAGUCAACCAUCUCCUUACCUCAUCACCAAAGACAUCAAAAUACCAACCAAGAACGUAACAUUCAUGGCCGAAUGUCACCUCCAUCAUUUAACAAAGCUUGAACCAUGGCUAGGUAGAUUUUGAACUUACAACUUAAAAUAUACAUGAAUCUCAAAGAAUAACAUUAAACAUACCUCAAUCUAGUUACAUGCAUGGCCAAACUUCCUCCUAAUCCUCUUCCUUAGGAUUUUCGGUCAAAUGAGGUUGAAAAAGGAUGAACAAAACCUUUCUUUUCCUUCCUUUAGCUCACGGCAAUGGGGUGUAUGCAUGAGACCAUUAUUCCUUUUUUUUUUCAUCACCCUUCCUUUCAUUAUUUAAUUAUCAUGCUUAUUAUUUUAUUUGUUUCAUCCCAACAUUUUAUGACACAAAUUAACAUAUCUUAUUUGUGCCAUACUCAUGCCAUAAUUUCCAUAAAAUAAAUUGCACAAUUGUUCAUCAUGCCCAUCAUGGCCGGCCACUACUAGUAGGGGGGGAAAUUUGACAUGCAAGUCCCCCCUUUGUCCACAUGCACUAAUAGGUCCUCACACAUUGACCUAUCACAUUUUAGAAUUUUCUCACAUAAGUCCUAUUGACUAAAUUCUCAUGAAAUCAACCAAAUUGAAGCUUGAAAUUUUCACACCUUCAUAAUUACAUAUUCUAGACAAUAAGUAUCACAUUCAAACAUUUCGGUGACUCGGUUUAGUGGUCCCGAAACCACUUCCCGACUAGGGUCAACUUUGGGCUGUCACAACUCUCCCCCACUUAAGAAAUUUUCGUCCCCGAAAAUCUUACCGGUAAAUAGGUUUGGGUAUCGUUCUUUCAUCGAGCUCUCGGUCUCCCAAGUAGCUUCCUCGAUCCCGUGUUUGAGCCAUAACACCUUUACUAGCGGAACUCUUUUGUUUCGCAACUCCUUCACUUCACGAGCUAGGAUACGCAUCGGUUCUUCUUCAUAGCUCAUGUCGACUUGAAUUUCAACCUCUGAUGGGCUAAUUAUAUGCGAUGGAUUAGAUCGAUAGCGUCGAAGCAUCGAAACAUGAAAGACGUCAUGAAUCUUUUCAAGCUCCGGGGGCAAAAUCAAUCUAUACGCAACCGGGCCAACUCGUUUGGAGAUUUCGUACGGCCCAAUGAAUCUUGGGCUCAACUUGCCCUUACGGCCGAACCUGAGUAUCUUUUUCCAAGGUGAAACCUUAAGGAACACUUUGUCUCCCACCUGAUACUCGAUGCCUUUUCGUUUCAAAUCUGCGUACGACUUCUGACGAUCCGUGGCUACUUUCAGACUUUCACGGAUUACAUUUACUUUCUGUUCAGCAUCUUUAACCAAAUCAACUCCAGAAAUUUUACUUUCACCGAGCUCGGUCCAAAACAAUGGUGUACGGCAUUUACGACCGUACAAAGCCUCGUAAGGUGCCAUCUUAAUACCUGAUUGAAAACUAUUGUUGUAAGCGAAUUCAAUCAAAGGUAAAUACCGUUCCCAUGAACCACUGAACUCGAGGAUGCAACAUCUCAACAUAUCCUCGUAAGGCACUUGAUGUUCCACUUUCACUUGUUGACAUAUUAAACAUCUCGAAACAAAGUCGGAGAUGUCCCGUUUCAUACUAUGCCACCAAAAUUGACGUUUCAAAUCGUUGUACAUUUUCGUACUCCCCGGGUGAAUUGACAUUCGGCUACAAUGGGCUUCGUUCAGAAUCAUCGAAAUGAGUUCCGAAUUCCUUGGAACACACAAACGACUUCUAAACCUCAAACAACCAUCAUCAUCAAUCUAAAACUCCGAUUCCUUGUUCGGAACACACUCAGCUCGUUUUGCAACCAAUUCAUCAUCGACUUCCUGAGCUUCACGAAUUUGAUGAGUCAAUAAUGGUCUGGCUUUUAAUUCAGCUACUAACACAUUGUCAGGUAGAACAGACAAGUGUACAUUCAUCGCUCGCAAAGCAAACAGUGAUUUCCGGCUUAAGGCGUCCGCAACCACAUUAGCCUUUCCCGGGUGGUAAUCAGUGACAAGCUCGUAAUCUUUCAACAACUCAAGCCAACGUCUUUGUCGCAGAUUCAAGUCUCGUUGAGUCAUCAAAUAUUUGAGACUUUUGUGAUCCGAAAACACAUGGCACUUCUCACCAAACAAAUAAUGUUGCCAUAUUUUCAAUGCAAACACAAUGGCGGCUAGUUCGAGAUCAUGGGUCGGAUAAUUUCUCUCGUGUGGCUUCAAUUGUCUCGACGCAUAGGCCACAACUCGACCUUCUUGCAUCAAUACGCAACCCAACCCAAGUAGGGAUGCGUCACUAUAAAUGACAAACUCUUUACCCGAUUCGGGUUGCACCAAAAUUGGAGCUUCAGUCAAAUGAGUUUUCAGUUGAUCGAAGCUUUUCUGACACUUCUCCGUCCAUUCAAACUUAACAUCCUUUUGAAGUAGCUUCGUCAUUGGUGUGGCUAUCAUCGAGAAACCUUUGACAAAUCGUCGGUAAUAACCGGCGAGCCCUAGAAAGCUCCGAACUUCAGUAAUAUUUCUCGGAGGUUUCCAGUCAAGUAUGGCUGAAAUUUUGUUCGGGUCAACACGAAUACCUGACGCGGAUACCUCAUGACCCAAGAAGCUAACCUCUCUUAACCAGAACUCACACUUACUGAACUUAGCAUAUAUCUGCUUAUCCUGCAAAAUUUGCAGCACUAGCCUCAGAUGCUCAGCAUGUUCGGUCUCAUCUCUUGAAUAGACCAAAAUGUCAUCAAUGAACAUAACUACGAACCGAUCCAAAUACGGUUUGAGGAUCCGAUUCAUCAAAUCCAUAAAUACCGCAGGGGCAUUAGUGAGCCCAAACGGCAUCACUAAGAAUUCGUAGUGACCAUAUCUCGUUCUGAAGGCAGUUUUGGGAAUAUCUGAAUCUCGAAUUCACAACUGAUAAUAGCCCGAUCUCAAAUCUAUUUUUGAGAACACUGAGGCUCCCUUCAGUUGGUCGAACAAAUCAUCGAUGCGCGGCAACGGAUAUUUGUUCUUUAUCGUCACUUUAUUCAGCUGACGAUAGUCAAUGCACAACCUCAUGGUUCCGUCCUUCUUUUUCACGAACAAUACUGGUGCACCCCAAGGUGAAAAACUUGGUCGAGCGAAACCUCUAUCCGUCAGUUCUUGCAACUGAGCUUUCAACUCCUUUAACUCGGUUGGUGCCAUACGAUACGGAGCUAUCGAAAUCGGCGUAGUCCCAGGUACAAGCUCAAUACCAAACUCUACCUCCCGAACAGGUGGCAAACCCGGUAACUCUUCAGGAAAAACAUCCGGGUAUUCACAAACCACCGGCACCGAUUCGGGUUUCUUUUCUAACUCCUUGUCAUCAAGUACAUACGCGAGGUAUGCUUCGCACCCUUUUCUUACAUAUUUCUGUGCCAACAUUGCUGAUAUUACAGCUGGCAUCCCCUCCAAGUCCGCAGACUCAAUUCGGAUUACUUCGUUAUUUGCGCACCUCAAAUCAAUAGUCUUUCUCUUGCAAUUCACAACCGCAUCGUGCGCGAUCAACCAAUCCAAACCAAGGAUAACAUCAAAUUCAUCAAACGGCAAAAGCAUCAAGUUCGCCAGAAAACAGGAACCUCGAAUUUCCAGGGGACAUUUCUUACACACUUUGUCGACAAGCACAUAACGACCCAAGGGAUUUGACACCCGAAUUACGAACUCAGUAGACUCAAUAGGUAAAGUCUUACUGGAUGCUAAGGUUUCACAUAUGUAAGAAUGAGUAGGACCGGGGUCAAUCAAAGCAAUUACAUUAGUAUCAAAGAGAGUGAAUGUACCGGUAAUAACAUCAGGCGAAGAAGCAUCCUCGCGGGCACGUAUAGCAUAAGCUCUAGCAGGCGCACGAGCCUCGGAUCUGGUCGUAGCAUCUCUAGAUCCUCUCUGACCACCACCAGCAUUGCCCGUAUUUCCAGAUGGUCUACCUCGAGCAGUGGUAGCACCCGGUUUCCCACUCUGAUUUACAUUCUGUUCAGACAACCUCGGGCAAUCUUUAAUGAAGUGGUCAACCGAUCCGCACUUGUAACAGGAGCGGUCAGGGAAUCUACAACUCCCCGAAUGCCAUUUACCGCAAUAUCGACAUUUCGUUCUGUCUCGACGUUCAUUCCCAACACUGGCGACCGAAGUGCCUCGUGUACCCAAAGGGGGUCGAUCACGAUCUCAUCUAAAAAGGCCCGAAGUGCCUCUCGACCAGCCCACAUCAUCUCGAAAUUUCUUCGAUGCCUGUUGAAGAGACUUUCCCGAAGAUAUUUUACGAAACUCUCCAGUUCCCUCAUCAACUUUUUGUUUUUCUUUUCUAAGCUCUUCGGCUUUACAAGCUCACUCGACAAGUACUACGAACUCUCGUAUUUCAAGAACGCCAACGAACAUUUUUAUAUCUUCAUUCAGCCCAUCCUCGAAGCGUUACACAUAAUAGCCUCGGACGAAACACAUUCCCGAGCGUAUCUACUAAGUCUAACAAAUUCAUGUUCGUAUUCAGAUACAGUCAUACGGCCUUGCUUGAGUUCUAAGAACUCCUUACGCUUCUGAUCAAUGAACCGUAGGCUAAUAAAUUUCUUUCGGAAUUCCGUUUGAAAGAAGUCCCAAGUUACUCGCUCGUUCGGGACUAUGGAAAUCAAGGUCCUCCACCAAUAGUAGGCUGAGUCUCGCAAGAAAGAUACAGCACAUUUGAGACAUUCGUCGGGUGUGCAUGACAAUUCAUCGAACACCCGAAUGGUGUUAUCAAGCCAGAACUCGGCCCUUUCGGCAUUAUCAGUUACUAUGGCCUUGAACUCCUCGGCCCCACGUUUCCUAAUCAAGUCUACAGGUGGCUUACUCAGCCUCACAGGAUCAGCGACUGAUGGCAUUACAGGCUCUUGGGGUGGAUUAUUCAAAUUUGGGAAUUGUUGGACAGCCGGGUUGGUUCGGGCAUAUUGCGCGACCCACUCAUUCAUCAUGGUAAAGAAGGCUUGUUUAGCCCCCUCACCUUGAUUAUUCGCAGAUGACUGAGGUUCAACAGGCGGCGUCCCUUGUGCAGGAGCAGCCGCUACGCUCUCAACGUCAUCCGCUAGGGUUCUUUCUACACCGGGAUCCAUUUACUAAUCAAAACAAAAACAUUUCAACCGUCAGAAGUCAUCACCCUUUUAAACAUUAACAUUAAGGCAUGUAUAGCUAGACUCAUACGUGCUAUGGUAGUCCUAGAACCGACUAAACCAUAGCUCUGAUACCAAUCAAAUGUAACACCCCGAACCCGAAACCGACACCGGAGUCGAACACGAGGUGUUAACUGACUUUAACCCCUUAUAAAAUUUAUUUUCCAGACACUGCCCAAUCUGUGUACUAGUCGUUAUAAAAAUCAUAUCUUGAGUUUCGUAACUCGAAAAUCAGUUUCGUGAUUUUUCCCAGAAACUAGACUCAUGUGCCCAUCUAUGAAUUUUUUUCUAGAAUUUUUGGUCGGGCCAAUUAGUACAGUUUAUUAGUCAAACUCUCCCAUGUUGCAGGGGUCGACUACACUGACCUUUUCCCAUUACAACCUGGAUAUCUCCCUGCACGGGGCUUCAAUACUGAUGCCGUUUGUUUCUAUGAAAACUAAACUCAGAGAGGAAUCUGUACAUAUAUGGUACGACCCCUAAUUAUCUCUGGUUAAUUUAUAUUGAAUUUCCAAAGUCGGAGCAGGGAAUCCAGAAACCGUUCUGGCCCUGUCCCACAAAAAUCUGAUUAUCUAUUAAUAUACUGCCCAUAUGAUCUUUUCGUUACUUCCUCAUGAAAACAGACUCAUCGAGCUUCGAUUACAUAAUUUAUUCAUCAAUUAAUUCCACUCCUACUAUUUUUAGUGAUUUUUCAAUCUCAUGACACUGCUGCUGCCAGCAUCUGUUACGAAAGUAACUAGGUCCAUUUCAUGCCUACCCUUGAUCCAACUCAAUCGAACAUUCGUGCCAUUUUCGCAUGGCUUAAAGUUUACAUGCCAAAGUUCAAACACAACGUAAUAGCUUAUACAUGCCAAAAUGUUCUUCUAAGCCAACUAAGAAGAAAGUACCAAAACUUGCUAUCCGGUGUGAUGACUUCGAUGACGGCCUGACCCCGCAAAAAUAGAUGAGUCCAAGCAACCUAUAAUGGGUGACAAGGAAACACCGAGUGAGUUUAUAACUCAGUAAGUCAUAAGCAAUGCACUACCAUCCAUCAAUAACAUUAUCACAAGAGGAAACAAAAUGGAACGAGACAAUUUACUCCAUCCAUACCGAACCAUACCAUAGUUCCUCCAACCUAUCGAUUCAGUUUCAUAUCAAUUUAUGCAUUCACAUUCCAUAUACUCAUCAAUAGGACAUUGAGGCAAUUUCAUAAAUCAAUUUAUUUUCGUUACAAUCAAACGACUAAACGGCCUUUCACCCAUCCUACGAUAAAUUUUAUGUACGUGACUUCAAGUAUAUUUGUCACAUAGGUUCAAACUUACCGAGCUCAACACCAAGUAUAAGCAUAGCACCCAUUAGCCAUGUACUCAAGACACUUACCCGAUCCGCUGUCCGCGAUCGACUCGAUAGUGUCGCACACAUAGUGUCCAUAAUGAUUCACGAAUGUAUAUUGAGUCCGUACACUCAGUGCUAUAUAAUCAACUCGCACACUUAGUGCUACGUAAUCAAAUCGCACACUUAGUGCUACAUAGUCAAACUCGCACACUUAGUGCCGCAUGGUCAAUUCGCACACUUAGUGCAUCAUAUUCAUUUCGCACACUUAGUGCAACAUAGUCAAAUCGCACACUUAGUGCUACAUAGUCAAAUCGCACACUUAGUGCUGUACAAUUUACUCCCGCGCACUUAGCGCCAAUCUCAUGGUCAUAAAUGGUUAUACCCGCACGUUUAGUGCCGAGAUCAACAACUCAGUACAUCUUACCUCUUUUCUUUUCAUUCAACAAUUUCAUCAUCACAUACGUACAUGCAUAUAUAUAUGUAUAUUUAUUCAUUCCAUUCAGCAUCAAUACAUAAACAUUAUGACCAUUUAAAACAAUACCAACUACAUGCUUAAUGACUUACCUUGUGUUGGGUAAGACGGUUCCAACUCGGCUACUCAGUGAUCUUUUCUUUGCCUUUAUCGGAUCUAGUUCCCUUUUGCUCUUGAGCUUAAGUUCAACAAAAUUUAAAAUAGUCAUUAAUCGACUAUUCAAGUAUUACUUUCAGAAUAAUAUAUAUAUUGAUUUGACUUUCACACACAUAGCUUAUAGUAAGCUUUAUAAUAAUCAAUAAAUAACUCAUUGGCAAAUUUUCAUUAAUGUUUACAACAAAAUCACAUAUUCACUACGAGCUGUUUUCCUGAGCAGUAGUCGCUAAAUUGUUUAUAACUGGAGCUACAAAACUCCAAAUCACAAGCCGUUAAUUUUCCCUGAAUAUAGACUCGUAUAUCUUCCAUCCAUAAAAUUUUCAGAAUUUUAGGCUUGUCCAAUCAAUACCAGGUUUUUCUUAAAGUUUCCCGUGUUUCACUGUUUGACUAUUCUGACCACUCUUCACUACGAAUCAAAUUUCUCAUUUUACAGAAUUCAAAAUGUGUUGUAUUUGAUCUCAUUUGAAACUAGACUCAUUAAGGAGUCUAAGCAUAUAAAUUUUAUCUUAUAAUCAUUUUUGUACAAUUUAUAAUGAUUUUCUAAAAACAGAACAGGGAAUCUAGUAGUCAUUUUGACUCAGCCCCACAAUACUUCAAAUAUCUCAAGAUCGGUAACUCUUUUGUUUUCAUAGUUUCUUUUGUAAGAAAAUAGACUCUUCAAGCUUUAAUGGCAUAAUUCACUCAGCUUCUAAUUCAACUCCUACAAAUUAUGGCGAUUUUCCAAAAUCACCUUACUGCUGCUGUCCCCAAACAGAUUAUUACCAAAUCAAAUACUAACAUUAGCAUUUCACCUUAAUAGCUAGCUUACCAAGCCUUAAUUUAACAUAUUUUCAUUCAAUUUAGUCUAAUAACGCAUAAAUGGGUAAAUUACAUUUUUACCCCUAAUAUUUCGCACUUUCGCAAUUUAGUCUUUAUUCCACAAAACACAAAAUACACAAAGUUUGGUCACACUCCUUAAGGGCCGAAUCUUCCUAGUACCCAUAUAAGUCCAUACAUUUCAUUUAUUUCACCUUUGAGUCCUUCAAAAAUUUAUUUUUGUAAUUUAGCCCUAACUACUCAAAAUCACCAAAAACUUCAACACAAAACAUAUUAAUCUUUAACAAGAAAUAAAAUCUCUAAUCCUCAAACUACCAUGGUCGAACCUUCAUGGAGUUGCUAAGACUCCUCAUUUCUACUUCUCACACACUCUCACAUCCAAACCCUUUUAUUAAACACCCAAAGUCAACCAUCUCCUUACCUCAUCACCAAAGACAUCAAAAUACCAACCAAGAACGUAACAUUCAUGGCCGAAUGUCACCUCCAUCAUUUAACAAAGCUUGAACCAUGGCUAGGUAGAUUUUGAACUUACAACUUAAAAUAUACAUGAAUCUCAAAGAAUAACAUUAAACAUACCUCAAUCUAGUUACAUGCAUGGCCAAACUUCCUCCUAAUCCUCUUCCUUAGGAUUUUCGGUCAAAUGAGGUUGAAAAAGGAUGAACAAAACCUUUCUUUUCCUUCCUUUAGCUCACGGCAAUGGGGUGUAUGCAUGAGACCAUUAUUCGUUUUUUUUUUUCAUCACCCUUCCUUUCAUUAUUUAAUUAUCAUGCUUAUUAUUUUACUUGUUUCAUCCCAACAUUUUAUGACACAAAUUAACAUAUCUUAUUUGUGUCAUACUCAUGCCAUAAUUUCCAUAAAAUAAAUUGCACAAUUGUUCAUCAUGCCCAUCAUGGCCGGCCACUACUAGUAGGGGGGAAAUUUGACAUGCAAGUCCCCCCUUUGUCCACAUGCACUAAUAGGUCCUCACACAUUGACCUAUCACAUUUUAGAAUUUUCUCACAUAAGUCCUAUUGACUAAAUUCUCAUGAAAUCAACCAAAUUGAAGCUUGAAAUUUUCACACCUUCAUAAUUACAUAUUCUAGACAAUAAGUAUCACAUUCAAACAUUUCGGUGACUCGGUUUAGCGGUCCCGAAACCACUUCCCGACUAGGGUCAACUUUGGGCUGUCACAAAUGUUGUGGAGAGUAUAUAGCACUAAAUGACGUGCAUAAGUGAGAGUUUUUAUGGCAGAAUCAAACAACCCUAAGUAUGAAACUCAAAAAAUAUCAAUCAAAUCAAACUAAAUUCAAUAAAAACCCAACAAAUCUCAAUCUAGGUAUCUUCUGAAUCCCCUAAAAAUGCAAAUGCUAUUGAUUAAUUACCAAAUUUAGAGAUAAAUAAAAAAAAGCCAACAUGCUUCCUUGCUCAUGAACGUGCUGAAGAUUACCUAUUCUUUAUCAUCCUCUUUUGUCUCAUUUCAACAUUUUUCUCAACUAUGUCCUUGGGGGCACCUCUUUUCCUAAUAUUUGUGAAUGCAAGAUACAAAAAAGAUUCACAGAAAAAAUAUUUUGGGAAAUAGAUCGAGGUUAAGGGUUAUGGGAAAACUACUGAUAUUUUUAGCAGAGAAAAUCAAAGGGACUUCGGCGAAAAUCGAAGGUAUUUUGAUUUGGGGAUUUUGGGAAACCGAUUUGAGGAUAUCGAAUUGGGGGAAAAUAAAGGGAAUUUGGGGCUCCAAAAAACGAUGCCGAUUUCAAUCUAUUAAGAGAUGUUUGUGGCAUUUUUUA
rnacentral:lncRNA from 1 species